GAUGAACGCUAGCUAUAGGCUUAACACAUGCAAGUCGAGGGACCGGCGCACGGGUGAGUAACGUGUAUCCAACCUACCCAUAACUAAGGGAUAACCCAGCGAAAGUUGGAAUAAUACCUUAUGGUUAUGGAUGGGGAUGCGUCUGAUUAGCUUGUUGGCGGGUGAACGGCCCCCCAAGGCAACGAUCCGUAGGGGUUCUGAGAGGAAGGUCCCUCACAUUUGAACUGAUACUCGGUCCAACCUCCUACGGGCGGCAGCAGUGAUGCCUAUUGGGCAAUGGACGUAAGUCGGAACCUGCCAAGUAGCGUGCAGGAUGACGGCCUGUGGGUUGUAAACUUCUUUUAUAUGGGGAUAGGUACCAUAUGAAUAAGGACCGGCUAAUUCCGUGCCAGCAGCCGCGGUAAUAC
rnacentral:rRNA from 1 species